GGCAGGGACACCUUUCUCUAGACUAUGUUGCUCAGAGUCCCACCCAGCCAGGCCUUGAGCACUUGCAGGCAUGGGGCAUUUACAACUUCUCUGGGCAACCUGUGCCAGUGCCUCACCACUCUCCAGCUCCUCUAGCUCCUGGCAGAUGCUGAGCACUGUCUUCUGCAGGGCUUCUCUGGUGGGGUUGACUCAUGUUGGAGUUAAACAGAUUCUAAUGUCCAGGGCUGGGUGUAAGCACUGCUAAGAACACAGUCACUAAGCUGCCAGCUUUGGGUCGCCUUUGGUGAUCUAAAUGGCCACCCCUGACCCUCUAAAACCCCUGAGAUUCCAGAGAGUGAGCAGGCUUUAUGUACUUAUCCAUUCCCAUCACAACAACAGCCAACUGAUUCCAGAGUUACAGGCUCAAGGGAUGACACAGACAGAACUAAUCCUAAUUUGGGGCCUGAAGAUCCACAGCAGAACGAUCCAACUUUGUUCUUACACUAUUAAUUAACACCACGCUCUAGUUUCCAACAUACUUAAAUGAUGAAUAAGGUUAAAUUCCAGACAACGUUCUGUAC
rnacentral:lncRNA from 1 species